UACGUAGGGUGCAGGCGUUAAUCGGAAUUACUGGGCGUAAAGCGUGCGCAGGCGGUUUUUUAAGUCUGAUGUGAAAUCCCCGGGCUCAACCUGGGAAUUGCAUUGGAGACUGCAAGGCUAGAAUCUGGCAGAGGGGGGUAGAAUUCCACGUGUAGCAGUGAAAUGCGUAGAGAUGUGGAGGAACACCGAUGGCGAAGGCAGCCCCCUGGGUCAAGAUUGACGCUCAUGCACGAAAGCGUGGGGAGCAAACAGG
rnacentral:rRNA from 1 species